AACGAACGCUGGCGGCAGGCUUAACACAUGCAAGUCGAACGCAUCCUUCGGGGUGAGUGGCAGACGGGUGAGUAACGCGUGGGAACGUGCCCUUCAGUUCGGGAUAACCCAGGGAAACUUGGGCUAAUACCGGAUACGUGCGAGAGCAGAAAGAUUUAUCGCUGAAGGAUCGGCCAGCAUCUGAUUAGCUAGUUGGUGGGGUAAGGGCCCACCAAGGCGACGAUCAGUAGCUUGUCAGUGAGGAUGAUCAGACACAUUGGGACUGAGAAACGGCCCAAACUCAUACGGGAGGCAGCAGUGGGGAAUAUUGGACAAUGGGCGCAAGCCUGAACCAGCCAUGCCGCGUGAGUGAUGAAGGCCUUAGGGUUGUAAAGCUCUUUCGUCCGGGACGAUAAUGACGGUACCGGAAGAAGAAGCCCCGGCUAACUUCGUGCCAGCCGCCGCGGUAA
rnacentral:rRNA from 1 species